GACGUGUAGUGGUAACAUGCUCCCCUCAUACAUUGGGAGCGUCUGGGGUUCGAUUCCCUGCUUGUCG